rnacentral:rRNA from 1 species
CGCAACCCUCGACCUUAGUUGCCAGCAUUCAGUUGGGCACUCUAAGGUGACUGACCGGCUAAAAAGUCGGAGAAGUGGGGAUGACGUCAAAUCAUCAUGCCCCUUAUGACCUGGGCUACACACGUGCUACAAUGGGCGGUACAAAGGGUCGCGAACCCGCGAGGGGGAGCCAAUCCCAAAAAGCCGACUCUCAGUUCGGAUUGCAGGCUGCAACUCGCCUGCAUGAAGCCGGAAUCGCUAGUAAUCGCGGAUCAGCAUGCCGCGGUGAAUACGUUCCCGGGCCUU